UACGUAGGGUGCAAGCGUUAAUCGGAAUUACUGGGCGUAAAGCGUGCGCAGGCGGCUUUGCAAGACAGAUGUGAAAUCCCCGGGCUUAACUUGGGAAUUGCGCUUGUGACUGGCGUGCUGGAGUGUGGCAGAGGGAGGUGGAAUUCCACGUGUAGCAGUGAAAUGCGUAGAGAUGUGGAGGAACACCGAUGGCGAAGGCAGCCUCCUGGGCCAGCACUGACGCUCAUGCACGAAAGCGUGGGGAGCAAACAGG
rnacentral:rRNA from 1 species